rnacentral:rRNA from 1 species
CCUACGGGAGGCAGCAGGGGGGAAUAGUGCGCAAUGGGCGAAAGCCGGAAGCAGCGAAGCCGCGUGAGGGAGGAAGGUCUUAGGAUCGUAAACCUUUGUUAGCAGGGAAGAACGGUCACUGUGCUAAUCAGCAGUGAAUUGACGGUACCUGCAAAGGCAGCACCGGCUAACUCCGUGCCAGCAGCCGCGGUAAUACGGAGGGUGCGAGCGUUAAUCGGAAUUACUGGGCGUAAAGCGCUCGUAGGCGGUAUGUCAAGUCAAGGGUGAAAUCCCCGCGCUCAACGUGGGAACUGCCUUUGAAACUGGCAAACUGGAGUGUGUGAGAGGUGAGUGGAAUUCGAGGUGUAGGGGUGAAAUCCGUAGAUAUCUGGAGGAACAUCAGUGGCGAAGGCGACUAUCUGGCACAUAACUGACGCUGAGGAGCGAAAGCGUGGGUAGCAAACAGGAUUAGAUACCCGAGUAGUC